rnacentral:ncRNA from 1 species
AUAAAGUUUUAUUUUAGCUUUAAAAUUAAGUUUAUUUUUUUUAUAUAUAUAUAUAUUGAUUUUUAAAUAAUUUAAUUAGUAGUAUUUAGUAUUAAUAAUAAAAUAAUUUUUGAAUUAGAAAUAAAUUUUAAUAUUAACUUAAUUUGUGCCAGCAGUUGCGGUUAUACAAAUAAUAUAAUUUAAUAUAUUUAGAAAAAAGUUAUAAUAAUUAAUAAAUAAAAAUUUAUUUUAAUUAUUAGGUGAAAUUAUAAUUAAUUAAAUUUUUAAUUUAUAUUAUUUGAGACUUUGAAAUUUAAAAUAUAAACUGGGAUUAGAUACCCCAUUAUUUUAAAAGUAAAUUUUUAAUCUUUAUUAUUAAUAGUUAUGAUCUUUAAAAUAAAAAAUUUUGGCGGUAUUUUAGUCUUUUCAGAGGAACCUGUUAUUUAAAUGAUAAUCCACGAUUUAUUUUACUUAAUUUUUGAAUUUGUAUAUCGUCGUAGAUGAAAAUUUUAUUAAAAUAUAAAUUUUCUUUUUUUUUUAAAAAUUAAAUCAGAUCAAGGUGCAGUUUAUAAUUAAGAUUUAAUGGGUUACAAUAAAUUUAUUUAAAUGAAAAAAAUUAAUAAUUUAAUUUUUAAAAGUGGAUUUGAAAGUAAAAAUUUUUAAUUAAAAAUUUUGAAUUAGCUCUAAAAUAUGUACAUAUCGCCCGUCGCUCUCAUUAAAAUGAGAUAAGUCGUAACAAAGUAGUCUUACUGGAAAGUGUGUCUAGAUAGUC